rnacentral:lncRNA from 1 species
UUGGUAUCAACCCAGACCAUGGAAGCAAGGCUGAGAAAAAAAGCAAGGAAAGAGAACCCAAAAAUAUUCAGUUUGACGAAAAAAUCAUGGAUUCUGAAUGGAAUGUUUACAUUUUUGAACACCUAAAAAUGUACAAGAUAGAUCAAACUGUUACAAA